rnacentral:rRNA from 1 species
UACGUAGGGUGCGAGCGUUUAAUCGGAAUUACUGGGCGUAAAGCGUGCGCAGGCGGUUUUGUAAGCCAGAUGUGAAAUCCCCGGGCUUAACCUGGGAAUGGCAUUUGGGACUGCAAGGCUGGAGUGCGGCAGAGGAGACUGGAAUUCCUGGUGUAGCAGUGAAAUGCGUAGAUAUCAGGAGGAAUACCGAUGGCGAAGGCAGGUCUCUGGGCUGACACUGACGCUCAUGCACGAAAGGCGUGGGGAGCAAACAGG